rnacentral:rRNA from 1 species
UCUGUAGGUGGUUGAACAAGUCAACUGUUAAAUCUUGAGGCUCAACUUCAAAAUCGCAGUCGAAACUGUUUGACUAGAGUAUAGUAGGGGUAAAGGGAAUUUCCAGUGGAGCGGUGAAAUGCGUAGAUAUUGGAAAGAACACCGAUGGCGAAGGCACUUUACUGGGCUAUUACUGACACUCAGAGACGAAAGCUAGGGUAGAAAUG